UCGUCAGCUCGUGUCGUGAGAUGUUGGGUUAAGUCCCGCAACGAGCGCAACCCUUGAUCUUAGUUGCCAUCAUUAAGUUGGGCACUCUAAGGUGACUGCCGGUGACAAACCGGAGGAAGGUGGGGAUGACGUCAAAUCAUCAUGCCCCUUAUGGGCUGGGCUACACACGUGCUACAAUGGACGGUACAAAGAGCUGGAAGACCGCGAGGUGGAGCUAAUCUCAUAAAACCGUUCUCAGUUCGGAUUGUAGGCUGCAACUCGCCUACAUGAAGCUGGAAUCGCUAGUAAUCGCGGAUCAGCAUGCCGCGGUGAAUACGUUCCCGGGCCUUGUACACACCGCCCGUCACACCACGAGAGUUUGUAACACCCGAAGUCGGUGGGGUAACCUUUUUUGAGUCAGCCGGCUAGGGUGGGACAGAUGAUUGGGGUGAGGUCGUAACAGUUGUCACUUUUGGAUGGACCCGCGUCGCAUUAGUUAGUU
rnacentral:rRNA from 1 species